CUGCGGAAGAUCAUUGUCGAAACCUGCCCAGCAGAAAAACCGCGAACACGUCAGAACCACUUGGGGGGCAAGGGGUGCCAGUGCACCUCGGACCCCCUCUGCCUAAGGCUUGCGGCCAUGGCCGAUGCCCUAGGCUUAAAAACAAACCCCGGCGCGGAAUGCGUCAAGGAAAAAUGAUGGAACGACCCAUGCCACCGUGGCCCCGGAAAACGGUGCAUUGCUGCGGUGGCUGAUUCGUGACCGGUUUAAGUCAAAACGACUCUCGGCAACGGAUAUCUCGUCUCUCGCAUCGAUGAAAACGCAGCGAACUGCGAUACUUGGUGUGAAUUGCAGAAUCCCGUGAAACCAUCGAGUCUUUGAACGCAAGUUGCGCCCGAAGCCAUUCGGCCGAGGGCACGUCUGCCUGGGCGUCACACAUCGUUGCCCCCUAAAAACCCCACUCCACUCCUUGUUAGGUGUGUGUGGAUCGAUCAGGGGCAGAGGAUGGCCUCCCGUGUGCACUUUGUCCCGCGGCUGGUCCAAAAUUGAGUCCUCGGUCACAUCUUCGUGGCAAUAGGUGGUUGUCGAUCAUUCGGUGCCCCGUCACGUCUGUCGGCCUAGCAUCGGGACUCUUAUAGACCCCAAUGCAUCUGUUGUGGAUGCUUCCAAUGCGACCCCAGUCAGGCG
rnacentral:rRNA from 1 species